AACGAACGCUGGCGGCAGGCCUAACACAUGCAAGUCGAGCGGACCCUUCGGGGUUAGCGGCGGACGGGUGAGUAACGCGUGGGAAUAUGCCCUUCUCUACGGCAUAGUCCUGGGAAACUGGGGGUAAUACCGUAUACGCCCUUUGGGGGAAAGAUUUAUCGGGGAAGGAUUAGCCCGCGUGGGAUUAGGUAGUUGGUAGGGUAAUGGCCUACCAAGCCGUCGAUCCAUAGCUGGGUUGAGAGGAAGGUCAGCAACACUGGGACUGAGACGCGGCCCAGACUCCUCCGGGAGGCAGGAGUGGGGAAUCUUGGAAAAUGGGGGCAACCCUGAUGUUGCCAGGCCGCGUGAGUGAUGAAGGCCUGAGGGUUGAAAAGCUCUUUCAGCUGGGAAGAUAAUGACGGUACCAGAAGAAGAAGCCCCGGCUAACUACGUG
rnacentral:rRNA from 1 species